AGAGUUUGAUCCUGGCUCAGAACGAACGCUGGCGGCAGGCCUCAAACAUGCAAGUCUAGGGGGUGUAGCAAUACAUCACCGGCGGACGGGUGCGUAACGCGUGGGAAUAUACCUUUUGGUUCGGAAUAACCCCGGGAAACUGGGGCUAAUACCGGAUGGUUCCUACGGGAUAAAGAUUUAUCGCCAAAAGAUGAGUCCGCGCCCGAUUAGCUAGUUGGCGGGGUAAUGGCCCACCAAGGCUACGAUCGGUAGCUGGUCUGAGAGGACGAUCAGCCACACUGGGACUGAGACACGGCCCAGACUCCUACGGGAGGCAGCAGUGGGGAAUAUUGGACAAUGGGGGCAACCCUGAUCCAGCCAUGCCGCGUGAGUGAUGAAGGCCUUCGGGUUGUAAAGCUCUUUUGGCGGGGACGAUGAUGACGGUACCCGCAGAAUAAGCCCCGGCUAACUUCGUGCCAGCAGCCGCGGUAAGACGAAGGGGGCUAGCGUUGUUCGGAAUUACUGGGCGUAAAGCGCGUGUAGGCGGCUGCCAAAGUCGGGUGUGAAAGCCUUGAGCUCAACUCAAGAAAUGCACUCGAUACUUGGUGGCUAGAGGACCGGAGAGGAUAGUGGAAUUCCCAGUGUAGUGGUGAAAUACGUAGAGAUUGGGAAGAACACCAGUGGCGAAGGCGGCUAUCUGGACGGUUUCUGACGCUAAGACGCGAAAGCGUGGGGAGCAAACAGGAUUAGAUACCCUAGUAGUCC
rnacentral:rRNA from 1 species